GCNUGCUUGCUCAANCCAAGCCAUGCAUGUCUAAGUAUAAAUGGUAUACAAUGAAACUGCGAAUGGCUCAUUAAAACAGNUAUAGUUUAUUUGGUAAUCGAAUUUACAUGGAUAACCGUGGUAAUUCUAGAGCUAAUACAUGCAGUAAGCCCGACUUAAAGGAAGGGCCGUAUUUAUUAGAUAACAGACCAAUAUUCCUCGNGUCUAUUGNGGUGAAUCAUAGUAACUAAUCGGAUCGCAUGGGAAUUUCCCGCGACAAACCAUUCAAGUUUCUGCCCCAUCAGCUUUCNAUGGUAGUGUAUUGGACUACCAUGGCUUUUACGGGUAACGGAGGAUUAGGGUUCGAUUCCGGAGAGGGAGCCUGANAAACGGCUACCACAUCUAAGGGAGGCAGCAGGCGCGUAAAUUACCCAAUCCUAAUUCAGGGAGGUAGNGACAAGAAAUAACGGAUCGGGGCUAUGCCCUGGGACUGAAAUGAGAUGAAUUUACACCCCUUUUACGAGAAUCAAUUGGAGGGCAAGNCUGGAAAAA
rnacentral:rRNA from 1 species